UACGGAGGGUGCGAGCGUUGUCCGGAAUCACUGGGCGUAAAGGGCGCGUAGGCGGCCUGAUAAGUAGGGGGUGAAAUCCUGCGGCUUAACCGCAGGGCUGCCUUCUAAACUGUCAGGCUGGAGCACAGUAGAGGCAGGUGGAAUUCCCGGUGUAGCGGUGGAAUGCGUAGAGAUCGGGAAGAACACCGGUGGCGAAGGCGGCCUGCUGGGACAUUGCUGACGCUGAGGCGCGACAGCGUGGGGAGCAAACAGG
rnacentral:rRNA from 1 species